rnacentral:tRNA from 1 species
GCCUGGGUGGCUCAGUCGGUUGAGCGUCCGACUUUGGCUCAGGUCAUGAUCUCACGGUCCGUGAGUUCGAGCCCCGCGUCAGGCU